rnacentral:tRNA from 1 species
AAUAAAGUGCCUGAAAAAAGGAUUAUUCUGAUAGAAUAAAUUAUGUAGAAUUCUACCUUUAUUA